GCCGAGGUGGCGGAACUGGCAGACGCGGCGGACUCAAAAUCCGCAGGGGCCUAGCCCCGUGGGGGUUCGACUCCCCCCCUCGGCACCA
rnacentral:tRNA from 1 species